GAGGGUAUAGCUCAGUGGUAGAGCGCAUGCUUAGCGUGCACGAGGUCCUGGGUUCAGUCCCAGUACCCCA
rnacentral:tRNA from 1 species